CGGGACGUGGCGCAGUCUGGUAGCGCACUCGCUUUGGGAGCGAGGGGCCGCCGGUUCGAAUCCGGCCGUCCCGA
rnacentral:tRNA from 1 species